UACGGAGGGUGCGAACGUUAAUCGGAAUCACUGGGCGUAAAGCGCGCGUAGGCGGUUCGUUAAGUGGGCUGUGAAAUCCCCGGGCUUAACCUGGGAAUUGCAUUUCAAACUGGCCGACUAGAGUACGGUAGAGGGAGGUAGAAUUUCCUGUGUAGCGGUGAAAUGCGUAGAUAUAGGAAGGAAUACCAGUGGCGAAGGCGGCCUCCUGGAUCGAUACUGACGCUGAGGCGCGAAAGCGUGGGGAGCAAACAGG
rnacentral:rRNA from 1 species